GACGAACGCUGGCGGCGUGCUUAACACAUGCAAGUCGAACGGUGAAGCACCUUCCUUUUGGUGGGUGUGGAUGAGUGGCGAACGGGUGAGUAACACGUGAGUAACCUGCCCCCUUCUUCUGGAUAACCGCAUGAAAGUGUAGCUCAUACGGGCUAUUCUCUUCCUGCUGCAUGGUGGGUGUGGUAAGGAUGCGCGUGUGGGUGUUUGUGGUGGGGGAUGGGCUCGCGGCCUAUCAGCUGGUUGGUGGGGUGAUGGCCUACCGAGGAGGUGACGGGUAGCCGAGAGGAGGGGGUGGAAGGGUGCAAUGGGACUGAGGCCCGGCCCAGAACGCUACGGGGGGGAGCGGUGGAGAAGAUUGCACGAUGAGGGCAAGCCUGAUGCUGCGACGCCGGGUGAGAGAGGGAGGGGUUCGGGUUGUAAACCUAUUUCGGAAGUGAAGCAGGCCGGUACCUUGUGGGUGGGUUGACGGUAGCUGGAGAAGAAGCGCCGGCUAACUACGUG
rnacentral:rRNA from 1 species